CCUGCAUGCAUUGUUUUUUUAGGAUGGGGAAGGGAACCUUCAUUUCAACUACUGCAGCUGUUUUUUGUAGAAAAUGCAGUGGAGAAGGAAGAUGGAUAAGAGGAGACACUCAAAAUUAUAUUACCCAGGAGCGUGAUAUUCUUCAGGAUAUGAACAUCCACUUCUGAUCUAUAUGAAGCAGAUCAAAGUGGACAACAAGACAUGCCAGCAUGGAUCAGGAAGGGGACAUCCUGAAAUGAGAAGCCACAAAGGUAUUCAAGAUUCAUAUUUUAACAUGUCCAGUUUGUGGAUGGAGGUGAAUUCAAGAAAUACCUCACGGUCUGGCUUUUUAAAGUGAAUUCUAAUUCACUUAAAAAAUAACAUCUGGAUUCAAAGGAAAGCGCAGCUCUUCUGGGUCCUCAGCUGCGAAGAGAUUCUCUGUUAUUUGUGCCUGGAGUGCACUCGAGCAGUAGCCGCAGGGAAGGGACAGUCACAUGCAAGGAGGAAAUAGCAGACUGCUUGAGCAGCACAGGUGCAGGGGAAGACUUUGAACUCUCUCGGGGAAAGCGGCACAUCCCUGAGUGCCCUAGCCUGGGCGUGUACACCUGGUAAGGGUGUUUCAAAGAUUUCACUUGGUGUGGCGAGUUCUGAACGGAGCCGCUGAGCUGCGGCGGUUCGGGUUCGUUGCAAAUAAGAGCUGGCAUUUCCAGGCGUCCUGUGCAUCUGGAGCUGUAGAGGGAGGGAGGGAGGGACCCGCGGAGCCCCAGGGUUUGCCGCUUUCCCCUUGCCGGGGUCGGGACGAACGGAUGGCGGUGAGCAGGGGCUGGGAGCCGCCGCAGCCGCGGCCGGGCGGGCUCUGCGCAGGGCU